GUGUCAACUACACUUAAGGCACUGGCCUGUCUUUCUCUACCAUUUUAUGCUCACUGCUCUUCCUUGCCUUUGUCACCAGUAGCUUUACAGGAACCAAGCCUAGGGAAAACCAUGAAAUCACUCAGACCUGCAUGCCACUGAGGUGUUUUCUCAGCUAUUAAAUCACCGUGUGAUCCAGAAGGUGGAAGGGGAAAAGCAACAGCACGUGCUCCCAGAAGUUCCAUGAAACCUACGCAGAGUAACAUGCAUAUAGCCCAGAAUCCAAAGAAACUGAAAAAGGAUCCAGAGGAACUUUCAUUGCUGCAAGCUCAGUUGCUGCCCCAGGCCAACCAUGUGUUUCAUCAGACAUGCACAACUUGAAUGAACUGCACUGGUACCUCAAAUCCUGCUAUACGACUUUGAGCCUAAAAAGCAAGGUGAU
rnacentral:lncRNA from 1 species